AAGUCGUAACAAGGUAACCGUAGGUGAACCUGCGGUUGGAUCAUUAACAAAAAUGCUUAUUCUGCCGUGCUUCUUGGGGGGUUGCUCUUUCGGGGGUUGCUUCUUUUGGGGUACGGUAGGGUAAAAACACCAUUUUGUCAACUGUUACGGUAGUCUUGUACUAUCAUUUUUCAACUACUCUUAUUGUAAUACCAUACUAAAGUUGAUUGACUUUAAAAAUUAAUAUUAAACAACUUUUGGCAACGGAUCUCUAGGCUCUU
rnacentral:misc_RNA from 1 species